rnacentral:rRNA from 1 species
GUACACUCCUACGGGAGGCAGCAGUGGGGAAUAUUGGACAAUGGGCGCAAGCCUGAUCCAGCCAUGCCGCGUGAGUGAUGAAGGCCCUAGGGUUGUAAAGCUCUUUCACCGGAGAAGAUAAUGACGGUAUCCGGAGAAGAAGCCCCGGCUAACUUCUUGCCAGCAGCCGCGGUAAUACGAAGGGGGCUAGCGUUGUUCGGAAUUACUGGGCGUAAAGCGCACGUAGGCGGAUCGAUCAGUCAGGGGUGAAAUCCCAGGGCUUAACCCUGGAACUGCCUUUGAUACUGUCGGUCUUGAGUAUGGAAGAGGUGAGUGGAAUUCCGAGUGUAGAGGUGAAAUUCGUAGAUAUUCGGAGGAACACCAGUGGCGAAGGCGGCUCACUGGUCCAUUACUGACGCUGAGGUGCGAAAGCGUGGGGAGCAAACAGGAUUAGAAACCCGGGUAGUCCCA